rnacentral:rRNA from 1 species
GACGAACGCUGGCGGCGUGCUUAACACAUGCAAGUCGAACGAAGAGCGAUGGAAGCUUGCUUCUAUCAAUCUUAGUGGCGAACGGGUGAGUAACGCGUAAUCAACCUGCCCUUCAGAGGGGGACAACAGUUGGAAGCGACUGCUAAUACCGCAUACGAUCCGACCUCGGCAUCGAGGAUGGAUGAAAGGUGGCCUCUAUUUAUAAGCUAUCACUGAAGGAGGGGAUUGCGUCUGAUUAGCUAGUUGGAGGGGUAACGGCCCACCAAGGCAAUGAUCAGUAGCCGGUCUGAGAGGAUGAACGGCCACAUUGGGACUGAGACACGGCCCAGACUCCUACGGGAGGCAGCAGUGGGGAAUCUUCCGCAAUGGACGAAAGUCUGACGGAGCAACGCCGCGUGAGUGAUGACGGCCUUCGGGAUGUAAAGCUCUGUUAAUCGGGACGAAAGGUCUUCUUGCGAAUAGUUAGAAGAAUUGACGGUACCGGAAUAGAAAGCCACGGCUAACUACGUG